rnacentral:rRNA from 1 species
GAUGAACGCUGGCGGCGUGCCUAAUACAUGCAAGUCGAGCGAACGGACGAGAAGCUUGCUUCUCUGAUAUUAGCGGCGGACGGGUGAGUAACACGUGGAUAACCUACCUAUAAGACUGGGAUAACUUCGGGAAACCGGAGCUAAUACCGGAUAAUAUUUUGAACCGCAUGGUUCAAAAGAGAAAGACGGUCUUGCUGUCACUUAUAGAUGGAUCCGCGCUGCAUUAGCUAGUUGGUAAGGUAACGGCUUACCAAGGCAACGAUGCAUAGCCGACCUGAGAGGGUGAUCGGCCACACUGGAACUGAGACACGGUCCAGACUCCUACGGGAGGCAGCAGUAGGGAAUCUUCCGCAAUGGGCGAAAGCCUGACGGAGCAACGCCGCGUGAGUGAUGAAGGUCUUCGGAUCGUAAAACUCUGUUAUUAGGGAAGAACAUAUGUGUAAGUAACUGUGCACAUCUUGACGGUACCUAAUCAGAAAGCCACGGCUAACUACGUG